GGCCCUGCACGCAGGGUCCGGCCCCCUCGCGCGCCGCCAGGCCGCGCCCCCCGCCCGGGCCCGCCCCCGGCCGUCUCCCGGGCGACGGCGUCAACACGCGCUGCACAACAGCAGCGUGACGCCCAGGGAUCCCCCAGCGCCCCGCGGCUCCCGCCCGCGCAAGGGCCCUGCGGCGGGGGAGGCCCGGGUCUCCCCGGAACUCCUUAGGGGGAUACCAGGCUUGGAGGCUCCCCGGGAUUCCGUGAGGGAAGGGGAGGUGGGCCUCAGCCUCAGAGGGGUCCCCAGAAUCCUAAAGGGCAGGGAAGACUGGGAUCCCCAAAUGAAUGGGGAUGGUCCACUGGCCCCUCAUCUGCUGCAGGCCCACCCCCUGUAAAAGACCUGAUGUGAUAACAGCAAGAGAUGUUAGGUCCUCGGGACGCUGCCCCGACACGCACGCACACGCGCGCACGCGCACACACACACACCCAGGGACAAAAAGAAAACUGAAGUGGAAGGGAAGAGGAAGUACUUGGCAGUGUCGGGGAGGUGUGAAAUUCCGACUCUAAGGCAGGACUUGGUAGUAGCAUUCCACCAGAUGGAAGGACCACAACUGGAUCAUCAGUACACCUGCUGUUGGACUUAGGCUGCCUCAAAGAAUAAUCAUUUCCCACCUGUAAUCCCAGCGGCUGGAGAGGCUGAGGCAGGAAGAUCAAGAGUUCAAAGCCAGCCUCAGCAACAACAAGGGGAUACAUUCCAAGACCCGCGGAUGCCUGAAACCACAAAUGUACGGAGACACACACACACACACACACACACACACAGUUGCUUCUAUACAUACAUUCCUAAGUUCAACUUAGAAGUCAGGCACAGUGAGAGUCACAGAGCACUUACAAUAGCACACUGCUGCAGAAGUUUGUAAGUGUGGUCUCUCUCUCUCUCUCUCUCUCUCAAAACGUCUGGGAUCACACUCGCCCUCCUUGGGACAAUGUGAGAUGACACACUCGUGAUGAGAUGAGACGAGGAGGGUGAUGUCGGCUCUGUGACGCCGUGUCAGGCGACUAUGCCAAGGCCACUUGAGCACAAGCCCUGCGGUGCAGCGACAGUGGAUCUGAUAGCCAGGAUGACUGGGAGGUGGCCAGUAGGCUCGCCGCACGUACAGCGUGGAAACGCCGGUCACCGAGCGGGGCCAUGUGAGGUUUUCUCAGGUUACGGAGAACAGCUAACAAUGAUUUCUGGAAUUUUCGGUUUGGUAUUUUGGAACCCCAGUUGGCAGUGAGUAACUGAAACUAGAGGAAGCAAAGCUAAGGACAAGGGGGACUAAAGUAUAACUCCGUGGAGCCUCUGGGGCCCAGGGGCCAUCCUAACUCACAGUUCAGAAAAGCGCAGCGACGCCCUCCCCUCUGCCGGCCUCAGUCUUCAGCAGUUACCUGCAACGUCCCCUCUGAUCAGAUCCACGGGGCUCCCUGACAUGCCCUUCCAGCCAGAGGGGCCUGCUUCAAGGUGGCCCUGGGCCCUGCGCUCAGGUGCCAGGUGCCCUGAGGUGUCUGGCUUUACUGGCAGAGCCAGUGAUCAUAGGUGAGUGUGGGCACCCAGGGCUCUUCCUGGAGUCGGGCGGUCCCCCGCUUGCCUUCCAACUUCGGGGACAGGUGGACCCUCCCUCUGUAGAUAACAAGCCUGCACAGAGACCCCUGCAGGGGAGGCGGCCGCUGCCUUUGGUUUCUUGCCAGCAGCCCCGGGAGAGGCUCUGACACGGCCCUUGUCUGAAUCCGACUCCGUCCCUUCCCUGGUGAACGACCUCGACCUGGAGCGAGGGGUUGCUUCGUCCUGAUGGCUGGUGGUGCUGGAUCAGGGCGGGGAUAGUAAUGGCCUUGUGCUGUGAUGGGAUCAUGAUCUGCACCUUCCUGGUGCAGAGCUGUGGCUGGGAGGACAGCAGGGAGAAGGGGCGGAACU